GCUGCAGCAUCUAACAUGGACCAAAUCACCAUCUCUUUGAUCUUUCCGUGGCUGUGAACUUUCUAUGCUGCCCAGCUUUCUGCAUGCUUAGAGAUUUCUGACCGAGCGCUUCCAAUGGACAUUCUCCAGUCUCUCUGGAAAGAUUCUCGCUAAUGGAUUUCCUGCUGCUCGGUCUCUGUCUAUACUGGCUGCUGAGGAGGCCCUCGGGGGUGGUCUUGUGUCUGCUGGGGGCCUGCUUUCAGAUGCUGCCCGCCGCCCCCAGCGGGUGCCCGCAGCUGUGCCGGUGCGAGGGGCGGCUGCUGUACUGCGAGGCGCUCAACCUCACCGAGGCGCCCCACAACCUGUCCGGCCUGCUGGGCUUGUCCCUGCGCUACAACAGCCUCUCGGAGCUGCGCGCCGGCCAGUUCACGGGGUUAAUGCAGCUCACGUGGCUCUAUCUGGAUCACAAUCACAUCUGCUCGGUGCAGGGGGACGCCUUUCAGAAACUGCGCCGAGUUAAGGAACUCACGCUGAGUUCCAACCAGAUCACCCAGCUGCCCAACACCACCUUCCGGCCCAUGCCCAACCUGCGCAGCGUGGACCUCUCGUACAACAAGCUGCAGGCACUCGCGCCCGACCUCUUCCACGGGCUGCGGAAGCUCACCACGCUGCAUAUGCGGGCCAACGCCAUCCAGUUUGUGCCCGUGCGCAUCUUCCAGGACUGCCGCAGCCUCAAGUUUCUCGACAUCGGAUACAAUCAGCUCAAGAGUCUGGCGCGCAACUCUUUCGCCGGCUUAUUUAAGCUCACCGAGCUGCACCUCGAGCACAACGACUUGGUCAAGGUGAACUUCGCCCACUUCCCGCGCCUCAUCUCCCUGCACUCGCUCUGCCUGCGGAGGAACAAGGUGGCCAUUGUGGUCAGCUCGCUGGACUGGGUUUGGAACCUGGAGAAAAUGGACUUGUCGGGCAACGAGAUCGAGUACAUGGAGCCCCAUGUGUUCGAGACCGUGCCGCACCUGCAGUCCCUGCAGCUGGACUCCAACCGCCUCACCUACAUCGAGCCCCGGAUCCUCAACUCUUGGAAGUCCCUGACAAGCAUCACCCUGGCCGGUAACCUGUGGGACUGCGGGCGCAACGUGUGUGCCCUAGCCUCGUGGCUCAGCAACUUCCAGGGGCGCUACGAUGGCAACUUGCAGUGCGCCAGCCCGGAGUACGCACAGGGCGAGGACGUCCUGGAUGCCGUGUACGCCUUCCACCUGUGCGAGGAUGGGGCCGAGCCCACCAGCGGCCACCUGCUCUCGGCCGUCACCAACCGCAGUGAUCUGGGGCCCCCUGCCAGCUCGGCCACCACGCUCGCGGAUGGCGGGGAGGGGCAGCACGACGGCACAUUCGAGCCUGCCACCGUGGCUCUCCCCGGCGGCGAGCACGCCGAGAAUGCCGUGCAGAUCCACAAGGUGGUCACGGGCACCAUGGCCCUCAUCUUCUCCUUCCUCAUCGUGGUCCUGGUGCUCUACGUGUCCUGGAAGUGUUUCCCAGCCAGCCUCAGGCAGCUCAGACAGUGCUUUGUCACGCAGCGCAGGAAGCAAAAGCAGAAACAGACCAUGCAUCAGAUGGCUGCCAUGUCUGCCCAGGAAUACUACGUUGAUUACAAACCGAACCACAUUGAGGGAGCCCUGGUGAUCAUCAACGAGUAUGGCUCGUGUACCUGCCACCAGCAGCCCGCCAGGGAAUGCGAGGUGUGAUUGUCCCAGUGGCUCUCAACCCAUGCGCUACCAAAUACGCCUGGGCAGCCGGGAUGGGCCGGCGGGCACCAGGCUGGGGUCUCCUUGUCUGUGCUCUGAUAUGCUCCUUGACUGAAACUUUAAGGGGAUCUCUCCCAGAGACUUGACAUUUUAGCUUUAUUGUGUCUUAAAAACAAAAACGAAUUAAAACACAACAAAAAAAUCCCCACCCCACAACCUUCAGGACAGUCUAUCUUAAAUUUCAUAUGAGAAACUCCUUCCUCCCUUUGAAGAUCUGCCCAUAUUCAGGAAUCUGAGAGUGUAAAAAAGUUCUGUCAACAGAUUCAGUCCCCAGUCCUCCUUCUCUGAGCAGACCUCUCAUCCGCAGCAUAUACCUGCUAGAUCUUCUAAGAGCUAACAUGGAGACUUCUGGAAGAAGGUGGGAGAGAAGUUCAUCUCGGCUUGAUUAACCAUGUAUCACAUCAUAUUACUCCCAUCUUAAAAGUGCACCCGUUGUUUUUCUAAGCCCUCACACAAAGGGUACUACUGUGGUACCAUAUCUGUCAACCCUUGAGAAACGCUGUUCUUGGACCUCACAGCCAAGCAGCCCUGAAUUGCAGCAAAAUCCAGCAACACAUUCAGCAGCGAGCAGCCUGCUGAGCUCCACUGGUUUAUCCGGGGCCACCAACCCCAAAGAACUGGGAUGAAAGCAGAUGUGAGAGAGGAAAAGGAUCUGUUUUUGUUUUAUUUUCUACCAGGCCCAGCUCUUUGUUGGGGGGGGAAAAAAAGAAGAAAAAUCGAGCUCCAAGCUGGUGCCCUGCCAAGCUUCCUCCCCUUCCUUCCUAGUCCAAGCACUCCACCGUCUGUGCAGACUGCAUAACAGCAGUUUCUGGAAACAGGCUGAAGAAUCUGGGCCAGUCCAGAGGCAGUGGAUUCCUGGUUUUUGUGUGGUGGGGUUUUAGGAAUUUUAUUUUUCACCUUAAUUCUUUCAAUAACUGCCAGCUGUUUGAAGCACAUCCAUUAUCAACAGCUUCUAUUUGUAAAAUGAGACUGAAGGUAUCCUCUCCAGAGGAAUUCCUGAAUCUUCUCUGUAGUUCAAUGCUUUCACUGACAGUUUGGCUCAAAAAGUAUGAGUGUGGUAAAUAUUAAAGAAUGUUAAUACAAAUGUGAUGAAACACCUAGGGAUCUUUUUUUUUCUCCCCCCAAAUUCUGUUUUGCUCACUACUAAAGUUAAUCUUGACAGAAAAUUUACUUCUCUGAUCCACAUCAUUUCCCAAAGCAAUUUUCCAACAGCAAACAUAAAUUUCUGGUGAUCGCUUGGAGGUUUUCAAUCCCUGUGUUAAGGAGGCCAUGGGGUUUCAACUGUUUGCCUCACUUUCAGGUAAAUGUCCCUCACUUGAAAUGCUAUCACCAGAGGACCCUGGGCAGCAACUAAGGACAAAGGUCCAAAAAUGAGUUUUGAGGUGUCAACAAAAAUAGGUUUGGUAGCGGGGAGAUGAUCUGAGUAUCAAGAUCAAAUCUUAAAAAGGAAAUUAAGUCAUUAACUAAGGAAGUAAUUGCCUAAGCCCACAUAUCUGUAGCCGCAAAUAAGAUGAAGCACUAAGUAAAUGCAGUGCCUUUACCUGGUGCUGGACUUUGAGCUGGUUAAUGCAGAUUACAUUUAUACCCUAUUGAAGGUGUGAGUUAAGCACAUAUCAUGAGAUGACAUUUGUGCUCUUCCCUUUGUCAUGUUUGUCAGCCUUUAGGGCUCUCAAGAAUGAAAAAUGACUGGACUUUGGAAUAAAAUAGACCUCAAUAUGAGUCCCAGUUCUACCGAACACCAGCUGCGUGAUGCAGGACAAAUGACUCAACCCCUAUUAAUCUAGAGAUAGCUUAAAAAUUCUACUUUGAAGAUAUUGGGAGGUUUAGUAUUAAUAUAUGCAAAAUGUUUUACACAUGCUGGACACACAGUGAGUGUUCAGUAAGUGUCAUUACUAUCGUCAGUAUCAUCACCGUCAUUGUCAUCCUCAUCAUCAUUACUUUUGGUACCAAGCAUAUCUAUUACCAAUGGAGUCCAUUUUGACUAUACACAGUGAAUCUCCUUUACAAUGUUAUUUGCAAUGGAAUGAAAUUCAGUCUAUGGACCACACUAGAUGAAUCAUAUAAAGCAGUAUAUAUGACAGCAGUUUAUAAGUUUUAAAGUUUGAUGAAAACGUAAGGUAUCAUGGGAGGGGGGAAGGUGGUUGUCUUUCUGAUGUACCCAAAAUAACCAAAAGAUGCUUAAGUCAUUUCUAUCAUUAUCUCUAUUUCCAUGCCUUCCCUGUCCUCUCCUUUUCUUUCUACUCAGUAAAAUUUUCAUGAUGACAAAAUAUCUAUUUCAAGUUGUAAAGACACCUAUGAGGCUUUUCUUGAUGCCCUCAGCUCACCGUGGUCCUCCCUCUUACCAUCAGAAGGUGUUAGAAGAGUCAUUGUCCUUAGCAAUCAACUCUGGACUGUUCAGGACAUCUCUUUUCAUUGUUCAUAUCAUUAAUUUACUUAUGUACCAUGUCUAUAUAUUUUGUGUCCCAUUAUAUAUUAUUUAUGGUCAGAGGACAACUAUUUUGUAUCAGUUCAAUUCAGUUAGUUUCUAGGCACUGAAGAUGAAGUACAAAGAGGAAAACAUAGCCCUCCUCCCAAAGGGUUUACAUACCAAUACAAAGGGUACAACAUCCACAUAUAUAAUGACAACCAAAGGUGGAAUAGGAUGAAUACUAUAACACAGGUGUAGCAAAGUCUUCCAAUGAUAUAGCUAAAGGAAAGGGUUUCCUCAAUUCAGGGAAUGUGUGAGAAGUUUCAUUGGGCUUGAUGAAGAAGGUGGACUAUACACUGCAUCUAGUUAGGUGGGUGGGAUUUGACAUGAAGAAUGGAAGGAAAGGGUCUCCCAAGAGCACAAUCCACAUUGUGCAAGAGCACGGAGGCAGGCAAGUGAAAGGGAAGCACUGGCUAAGUGCACCAGCAAAAUGCUCAACAGCAUGUGAUGAUUUGAUAUAAGUAGCUACUUCAUCACCAGGACAAUCCAGAAUCUAAUUUUAUUCCAUUUCAGUAUGGAAUGUAUCCUAUCUAUAACAGGAUGAGUUAGUGAGAAAACAACUCACCACUCUUAUAUCCUUCCCCUACACUCAUCAUACAAAGAACAGAGUCCAGACUAGUGUUUCCUAAGGCCCUCUGAGGAGAAUAUCAUCUCACAGAGGGGGGAAAAAAAACAGAAGAAAGUACUUGAAGGAGGUUGCUGGACAUGCAGACCACACAGGGGAAGGGGUAUGGAGGGCUCCUUAGGAGGCUGGGUCAUGGCCACCAGAAGAGACUUCAAUAACCAAACAUAGCAUCAAGCAGCAAUUCUGCCUGCAUUCAAGGGACCUUGUGUACAUAGACAAUGAGAGGUAAGUGGAAAUCAGGUGGCCUGAAGAUCAGAGCACCAUUCCUGAGAGUUCUGAAACAAUAUUGGGCCCCCUGCAUAAUCAAGAUGGGUUGGCAUGGUAAGAAAAUCUUUAUGGAAAUUGACAGUCAAAUUCCCUGGUGAGAGGGAGCAUCAAGUGGAUUAGAUGCAAUUUUGAAAAGAAAAAGUAAAAAGGCAAGUGAAAUGUUUUUACCUUUGUUGUAUAGGGAAUUUUAUACCCAUGACGGUGACUAUUAUCACACAAACCAUGCCUGUCUAACAACAUGUGAAUAGCAAUGGCUGAAAUGUUGCUGGUAUUCUGUAUCAAUUCAUAUUUGAAGGCUCAUCUGUCAGAAGACCAUUUAAUUCUACAUCAGACUUGAUUGUCUGAUGAACAUCUCUGAAGGGACAUUCAUUUGCAUUCCCACUGGGAGUUCUGGCUUCUCUGAGUUUUAUCUGUUUAUCCAGUGGGCUCACUGGGACAAAAUAAAGGAACAUUUUGGGAAUAAUGACUUGGUCCCCAGACUAUGACCCUUGUACAAAGACCAGAAGCAAGAUGACCAUUCACCUCUCCACAGAUCCCGUGGAAGAAAAGAUAAAUCACUCUGAGGUAAGAAUUUCAAGACAUCCAGGCUUGAUCUUAAAGUGUUAGUUGACUGUCACCAGAGAUGGACACAUUUGAGUAUGACACUGACUUUUAUUAAGACAUUAAAAUAAUCUAGUGAGAAUGUGGGUAGUCCCGCUUAAUGUAUAAUGCUUCUUGCUGCCACUGCUGCUGAAGAAAGAGGGAAGAAUCUCUUCCUUCUAGAAUGAAUGAGAAUGAAAAUUCAACAAGAGAGAUACCAGUGUGGUAGAUGCUACUGGCAAUCCACUCAAUUGCCAUUCCCCACCAUCUUCAUCCAUAAUGGCAAUCUGCUGCCAUGAUAAAGGCUAAAAACAUCAUGGUCUGGUUUUGCCAGCUUCCAUGAAGUCAGGCCAUGGCUGACCAGCUGGACAGACAUCUACUUGGAAACUUCUGAGUAAUAUUUCACUUCAGAAAAAAAGAAAGUGAUGUCUAGAAGAAAGAUAUCCUCCCUUUUGGCCUACAGACAACCUUCCUGAUUCCUGCAAUGAACAAACACUAGGACUAAGUGAGACAGCAGAGCAGAAAAUGGAAAGAGACUCUACUGUGCUCCACAGUCUAGCUUGGGGGAUCCACCUCUAGACCUAUUGCUAUGUGGAGUAAUAAACAACUAUUAUCCAACCAUUGGAAAGUGAGUUAUCUAUCUAUGUGAGCAUAAUCAUCUUAACCAAUAUGACAAAAUUCUAGAUGGAGUGGGACAGAGACAGGGAUGUGUGGAAAGCUAAAAGGAUGAGGCAAAUGAAUAUCCAAAGAGAAAAGGAAAAUGUCAUUUUCCUGGGGACAGGUUUGAAUCCUGCCCUGCCUCUACUAGGAAUUUGAGGAAUCCUCAGAGAUGAUAUUAAAAAAAGUGACUGAAUGUCAGAGAUCAUAGGAGGGAUGGCGUUGAUGGCUUCAUAGUAGAGGAAAAACCCAACAAUGAAGAGAAAACUGCAUUGAACCACAUUCAAUGCUCUUCAUUAAGAGAAUGAAAGAGGAAACUGGUUUGAACCACUGUGUAUCAGGAUGGAUAGAGGAAAGGCCACCACUUCUGUCCUUUUCGGGCUCAGUCAAGGGAAGGAAAGAUUCGAAGAAUUGCUCUGGAUAGGGCUCAGAGCUGAAAACUACAGCCAAAAUCUUGACAGUUGUUAAACUUACUCCUUUACUGACUACUUGAAAAUUGACUGGCCUGGGAAAGUUGGGACUACUUCUGCCUUUGGAGUAGAGUGUUAGCUGGUGGUAUUUUACUAUCCAGAAUUAGGGUACCUUAUCCCCCAAAAAGUUAGCUAGUAAUUCCAUUCAAUUGUUAAUUCACUAUCCUCAUAUUUUUAAAAAUGAAAUCUUUUAUUAAGAAAUCAAAAUAAUCCAGUAAGAACUUGGGUAGUCCCGCUAAAUGUAUAAUGCUUCUUGCUGCCACUGCUGCUGAAGAAAGAAGGCAGAAUCUCUUCCAAUUCGAUUGCCAUGAAUGGAAUCAUUCUACUCACACUAAUUGUUCAUGGUCAGGGAAAUUGAGAUAAUACAAGUGAAAUACUUGGCAUGAUGUGUGGAAUUAACCAUUCAAUAAUUAUUAGUGGUCAGUUCCCUUUUCUUUCCCUCCUCCUUCUCCCUCUCCUCCCAUCCCCUUUCUUUCUUAUCUCUUCCUUUCCUUACCCUUCUUUUGUCCUACCAUCUUCUAGUCUUCCUCUCCCUGUAUGUUCAGCAUACGCAGUGGCUGGAGAACUGUCCUCCUCCCUGCAUGACUAGCUGCCCUUCCAGCUCUAGGAGAGCACAAGGGCACUCUUUCCAGCUUCCCUCAGCUGCAUUAGGGUGAACCAGAGGCACAUCCAACCUAUUAUCAUCUAUUGUAACUCAUGAGACAUCUUCCCAUUGAAAUAAUGUCAGAAAAAUGGGUAAGUCCCUAGCCUAUCAAACAAUACUUACUGAAAACUUAACUCAAACACGUGCAGGUUCUAUCUCUGAGGCUGCAUUUAUUAAUACGAGGUCACUCCCUUUGUAUAUAGGUCUCACACACCAACACUAUCUCGUUACUUGUCCUUUGAUUAUUUUUUAAAUUUAUAUUUUAAAUUGACGUGUAAUAAUUAUACAGAAAGAUAUUUCAAUACGUAUAUACAAUUUGUAAUUAUCAAAUCAGUGUAAUUAGCAUAUCCAUCACCUCAAACCAGCAUUUCCUUUAUAUUAUCAAAUAUCCAGGUAGUGUUCAAACAUAUCUGAUAUUCUCUCGCCUCCCUGCACCCUGACUUUUAGUUUGUUUGAGUCAAAAUCCAAACAGGGUUCAUACUCUCAUUGGUUGAUAAUGUCUUUUAAGUGUCUUUCAAUUACCACUCAUCUCUUUGUCUCCCCUCUUGCAAUUUAUUUGAUGAUUAAACCUAGUUAUUUGUCCUAAAGAAUUACCUAUAUCCUAAAUUUUGUUGAUUUACAUGAUUUUUUAAAUGUCACCCCCAAUCUCCAAAAUUCUGCCUUCUUUAAUUUAAAUCUUAUAAAAUUGCUUCCCUUUUAAAGAAAAAUUGCAACUUGCCAUUCCUUUGCUUAUUACCUUGAGGAUCCACUAGCCCAUAUUUUGCCUGAUUUUGACCAAUAUCUUCUCAUUUUAAUGUCCAUUAUUUACCUAUUACUUCUUUCUGAAAAAAAACUUGAACCAUCUGGAGUGCCCUUUAAAUCAGGUUUUAAAAUGCGUACUGGUCUACUCAUCUAGAGAAGCUUGCUCAGCUCUAAGAUUGCAAGACACAACUAGUAAGCAAUAGGUGGUGUUGUGAUUAACAAUUGUGCCACAUGAUUACAUUUUAAAAGUACAUUUCUAUUAUUGAUUAAACACAUGCAUAUUUACUAUGAGAUUAUAUAUCUGAGAUUUGCUUUAAAAUAAUAGGAGACAGGGAGCAGUGGUUUAGAUGUAAUAAGAUUGCACAUGGUUGAUAUUGUUGCAGCUGGGUAAUACCUAUAGGAGGGCUCAUUGUAUUAUUCUAUCUACUUCUGUUUAAAUUUGAAAAUUUACACAAUGAGAAGUAAAUGUGAGUUGUACUAUGUUACCAAAACUAAGUAAUGAGACAUUUCAUUUGAGAGGCCUACAUUGUCAUAUUUUUUGCCAAGGGCCAUCAAAAAAUCAUGUCUAAGGAACAAUAUACUUGCUUUUCUCAUUCUACAAAUCUGAUUUGCCCAAGAAAAGUAAGUUUUAAACUUAAAAAAAAGCAAUAAAUAACAUUUAAAUAAUAGGGAAAUGGUUUGAAGUGAAUGAAAAUAUAACUCAUGUAAAAGUGGUUCAUAGGUUUUGGGAUUCGUCUAACCUGCCUUUCCUAAGACUCUAGUGUGGCAGAACCCAUUGGCAUUCCCCUGUGACCUAUCACUAGCUGAUAGAAGACUCCCAGAAGAAAAGUGACAGCAAGAUCCACUGGAUCAUUUCAUAAGAAACAAUUGCUAGCAUCAUUAUGAAGGAUGCACUUACAUGCUUUUCUUACUACAAUGCCGGAUGAACAUGCAGGUUCUAUGAUUCCAAGGUGAAAAUUCAAAAAAAAAACAAAACAAAAAAAAAAACUUUCCAAAAACCUAUUAUCUUUCAACUUUAAC